rnacentral:sRNA from 1 species
GUCGUGAGAUGUUGGGUUAAGUCCCGCAACGAGCGCAACCCCUACCGUGUGUUGUAUCACUCACACGGGACUGCCGAGAGAAACUCGGAGGAAGGUGGGGACGACGUCAAGUCAGCAUGGCCCUUACAUCCUGGGCUACACCCACGCUACAAUGGCCGGUACAACGGGCUGCGAAACCGCGAGGUGGAGCGAAUCCCUUAAAGCCGGUCUCAGUUCGGAUUGUAGGCUGCAACUCGCCUACAUGAAGCCGGAGUUGCUAGUAACCGCCGGUCAGCAUACGGCGGUGAAUAUGUUCCCGGGCCUUGUACACACCGCCCGUCACGUCAUGAAAGCUGGCAACACCCGAAGCCGGUGCGCCAACCGCAAGGAGGCAGCCGUCGAAGGUGGGGUCGGUGAUUGGGACGAAGUCGUAACAAGGUAGCCGUACCGGAAGGUGCGGCUGGAUCACCUCCUUUCUAGGGAGAUCCUAGUUCUGGUCCUCGGUGGGACCGGAGCGUUGAUGGCUCCUACGGUUGAUCGCUCGGUCGCUCGCUUCCCCAGUCAGGUGGGGAGCGCCGGCGCCUUCGGGUGCGGGAGACCGAAGCGACCUGGCGAAAUCACCGAAAACCGUUCGGGCAUCCGUGCCAAGGCUCUCUGCCACUCUUCUAGGGUCAAGGGUGCAACCCGCCCGCUCCGCGUCGGCCGCCGUGGCCGGCGUCGGCGCAGGCCCGGCGGGCGUUUAGCUCAGCUGGUUAGAGCACUGCCCUGAUAAGGCAGAGGUCUCUGGUUCGAGUCCAGAAACGCCCACCAUCUCCCAUCCGGGAGCGUGGGGACGUAGCUCAGCUGGAAGAGCAUCUCCUUUGCAAGGAGAGGGUCAGGAGUUCGAGUCUCCUCGUCUCCACCACCUUCCGUUCGUCCGACGUGCACCUGAAGCUCGACGAUCGAUCCCCUGAUUCGUGUCCUCCGGUUCCGGAGGCCACCGACCAGCGGAUCGCUGGAGGGACCCUCGGUCCCGAGGCCCGCAAGGGCCGCACCUUAACAACUGGAUAUGUGAUCGGCAGAAAUGAAGAAGUAAAGAUCUUCGAUUUCGCCGUGUUGUCAGAAUUAUUCCGAUACUGGGUCCUCAUCAACCCUUGACCACUGGGUCAGAGGCUGAGGGGGUCAAGCUACACAGGGCACGAGGUGGAUGCCUUGGCGCCAAGAGCCGAUGAAGGACGUGGCAGGCUGCGAAAAGCUCCGGGGAGUCGCGAGCAGACUUUGAUCCGGAGAUGU